UACGGGGGGAGCAAGCGUUGUUCGGAUUUACUGGGCGUAAAGGGCGCGUAGGCGGCGCAACAAGUCACUUGUGAAAUCUCCGGGCUUAACCCGGAGCGGUCAAGUGAUACUGUCGUGCUAGAGUGCGGAAGGGGCUACUGGAAUUCUCGGUGUAGCGGUGAAAUGCGUAGAUAUCGAGAGGAACACCUGCGGCGAAGGCGGGUUGCUGG
rnacentral:rRNA from 1 species